ACCACAACAUAAUCUUUUCUAGAGCUAAAAACCACAGACGAUUUUAUGGUUGAUGUAAUCGGUCAAGUUGUUGAGGUGUCGCAUAUUGAGGUUGUGUCUGUUAAUGGCAAAUGACACAGAGAAGAUUACAGUGGAGCUACGCAACUAAGAAUCCUCUCUUCGCCAUGCUCAGCUCCACCGUCGUUGCCGUGCUCAUCGUCGGAAUUAAGUCACGCCGUCGCGUCUCAUUGGCUCCUCCAUGACAAGCUUUGUUCGUGUUCAUCAAUGGAGAUAUUUCUUCAAUUUGCAAGAUUGGUCCUUUAGAUUUUUAGUUCUUUCUUUUCGGCCACAAGACUUCGAAUUUGCAAAUGCAACCUCAUGAAUUGAACCCAAACAUUUUACAGUGAAACCUCUAUAAAUUAAUAAUGUUAGGACUACACCAAAACUAUAUUUUUUAUUAAUUUAUAGAGAUUAUUAAUUUAUCGAGAUACUAAUUGAACCAAAAAUUCAAUUUAGGACUAUGAAAUUAUAUUAAUUUAUAGAGAUAUUAAUUUAUAGAUUAUUAAUUUAAAGAUGUUAUACUGUACUGUGCAAAACAGACCUCCAUAUUUGCGCAAACCGUCCUUGAACUUCUGGAUGUGAAUAUAAGAAUAUAAAAAAUCUGUUACAAUAUAAGAAUAUACCUACAUAAAACAAUUUAUAUGCCAUGAAAAUCUUGACAUUGUUCAUAGAUCACACAUAAAAUCCUCAUACUGUAUCUUUUUAACAGUAAAUGAGGAACAUAACUAUAAAGUUGAAUUACUUCGUAGAAUCCCAAGUGGUGUGAUUGUGGUUUUGUUUUCCUUGGAUGGUUUUUAUGAACUGUCUUUGGAGAACGUGGCAGAAGCAGCUCGAUGUAAAAGUCUCAAACUUCUUUUGGAUCCUUAAUUUGUAUCUCCCAAGCCACAACCUUCAGGUCCUAACAAUUUUGGCUGUGAUUUCUCAAGUUAUGUCAAAUGAGGUUGACUAAACUCAGCUCAUUUGGACUCUGUUUAGUUGAAACAGAAGAAACGGAGCAGCAGCAAAGUCAGAAACUUCAAAGUGAUGGCUCUCCAAUUUGAUAACAGCACAAUCAAUAGAGUUGAGUCUCUUCUUAAAAGACACAAUUUGUGUACUGAUACUCUUGUUAUACAGUCCGCAAGCUAUCUUCAAAGAGCCUUUACGUGGAGGCAAUAACAUUUUGAUUGAAGAAAGGUGUUAGAAGGACCUUCAAUCUGAUAGCAGAGGUGGUGUUCGUGAGCAGAUAGGCGGAGCAGUCGUAAGCAGAGAGAGGCAUUAGCUUCGUUAAGAUUAGAUUUAGAUUAGUUUUUG